UCUCCGUUGGUGAACCAGCGGAGAGAUCAUUAUCGAGUUUAUAACUCCCAAACCCUAUGUGAACUUACCACUUGUUGCUUCGGCGCGCGCUUCGGCGCCGCCGAGGACACUUAAACUCUUUGUUUUUAUAAGCAUUUCUGAGUGGCCGAAAGGCAAAAUACAAAUGAAUCAAAACUUUCAACAACGGAUCUCUUGGUUCUG
rnacentral:misc_RNA from 1 species